rnacentral:rRNA from 1 species
UACAGAGGCCUCGAGCGUUAGGCGGAAUCACUGGGCUUAAAGCGUGUGUAGGUGGAUGCCUAAGUACCUUGUGAAAUCCCACGGCUUAACCGUGGAACUGCUUGGUAUACUGGGUGUCUUGAGCCACUCAGGGGCUACCGGAACAAAUGGUGGAGCGGUGAGAUGCGUAGAUAUCAUUUGGAACGCCAAUGGUGAAAACAGGUAGCUGGGGGUGUGCUGACACUGAGACACGAAAGCCAGGGGAGCAAACGGG